rnacentral:rRNA from 1 species
UACAGAGGUCUCAAGCGUUGUUCGGAUUCAUUGGGCGUAAAGGGUGUGUAGGUGGCGCCGUAAGUCGGGUGUGAAAUUUCGGAGCUUAACUCCGAAACUGCAUUCGAUACUGCGGUGCUUGAGGACUGGAGAGGAGACUGGAAUUCAUGGUGUAGCAGUGAAAUGCGUAGAGAUCGUAAGGAAGACCAGUGGCGAAGGCGGAUCUCUGGACAGUUCUCAUGACACUGAGGCACGAAGGCCCAGGGGGAGCAAAACCGGGG